AAAAAAAAAAAAAAAAAUCUACCAAUUUACAUUGCAACCUCAUUGAUACUGAACACACAGUCAUCCCGGCAAUAUAUUUGAGAAGGUGAAUUAAGUAGUCUUUUGGGGUUUGUGGCUAUGCAAUUAUGAUUAGAAUAUUUGAUGCUAUUCUAACAUGAGUUUAGGUGAGUUCUCUUUAACCUUUUCUCCAUACUUCUGGAAAAACGUUGAGAUCUUUUUUAUUUUUAUGAACCCAGUAAAUUCACCCUCCAAUUUUAAACUAUGCUUAAUGAAAAAGAAAUGUACUAAUAUGACUUCAGUAUAGUUUUGCAUUGACUAAUCAUCAUGGAUUUUAUGCUUGUCCUUUUAGUCUAGAAAAUGCAAAAUUGUGAGGCUUUACUUAGUAAUUUAGGACUUUCUCUCCCUCUAUCUAUCUAUUCAUACAGUGUGUCUAAGGAUUGCAGGAUUUGCUAUCUAUCUAUUCACACAUGUAUGUCUAAGGAUUACAGGAUUUGCUUCCAAAGAGUUUGG
rnacentral:misc_RNA from 1 species